rnacentral:pre_miRNA from 1 species
AGUAGGAUUGCUGGGUCAUAUGGUAAGUGUAUGUUUAAUUUUAUAAGAAACUGCCAAACUGUCUCUCAAAGUGACUAUACUAUUUUGCAUCCCUUCCAGCAAU